UACAGAGGUCCCAAGCGUUGUUCGGAUUUACUGGGCGUAAAGGGUGCGUAGGCGGUGGGGAAAGUUCGAGGUGAAAUCUCCAAGCUCAACUUGGAAAUUGCCUUGAAGACUUCCUUGCUUGAGGAUCGCAGAGGAGACUGGAAUUCUCGGUGUAGCAGUGAAAUGCGUAGAUAUCGAGAGGAACACCAGUGGCGAAAGCGGGUCUCUGGGCGAUUCCUGACGCUGAGGCACGAAAGCCAGGGGAGCAAACGGG
rnacentral:rRNA from 1 species